rnacentral:rRNA from 1 species
UUGGAGGGCAAGUCUGGUGCCAGCAGCCGCGGUAAUUCCAGCUCCAAUAGCGUAUAUUAAAGUUGCUGCAGUUAAAAAGCUCGUAGUUGAAUUUCGGGACCAAUAUGUCGGUCGUGCCUCGGUACGUACUGGCAUCGUUGGUUUCUCCCUUCCGACGAACCAUGAUGUCAUUUAUUUGGUGUCGUGGGGAAUCAGGACUGUUACUUUGAAAAAAUUAGAGUGUUUAAAGCAGGCUCACGCUUGAAUACAUUAGCAUGGAAUAAUGAAAUAGGACGUUUGAUUCUAUUUUGUUGGUUUCUAGGAUCGACGUAAUGAUUAAUAGGGAUAGUUGGGGGCAUUAGUAUUCAAUUGUCAGAGGUGAAAUUCUUGGAUUUAUUGAAGACUAACUACUGCGAAAGCAUUUGCCAAGGAUGUUUUCAUUAAUCAAGAACGAAAGUUAGGGGAUCGAAGACGAUCAGAUACCGUCGUAGUCUUAACCAUAAACUAUGCCGACUAGGGAUCGGAUGAUGUUAAUUUUUUAAUGACUCAUUCGGCACCUUACGGGAAAC